AUGCUUUUCCUCUUGCAGCAUUUCUUCCUGCUGGCCACAGACUUAAUGCUCGCCAUGACCCUUUCCUGCCUCUUUUAUGCCUUCGUCUCCAUUGGGAGGAUGUUUGCAAGGAACCUGGAUAAAGCAGGUUUCGGGGUGUCUGCUGCACAAUGGUCUGCUCAGGAGGAGAGGACAGUGACAGAAGAGUGCUCAUCGAACAAGGAGGUAGCCCAGUUCCACCUGACUGAAGAUGAGUAUCAGAAGACAGUGAAAACCUUCAUAGAAAGCCACUUAUCCCUGAAAGGCAUAUAUGGGAAGAUGAGGAAGCCAUCGAUCCUGAUAUGGGAUGAAGGGGCACCAGACAAACAUGGCUUACCUGAGAGAAAAGCUUCCUGUGAGGGGAAGAAGGCUUUCAAGGCUCCACACAGGAACUGCUUACUGCAGACAGCUCUCUACAUCUCUAUCCUCUGUCAUCCACUGACCUGUCUCCUGAGUCUCCUGAAGAGAAGCCCACAGCUGCUUGUCCCUCUGCUGAAGUCCAAAAACUGAGAGGUGAGGCAGCACCCUCACAGCUCAGGUACCUGCCAGAGCCAGGAAGGAAACCCACGGAGCUCUACACAUUAGCACUGUCACACCACCACGAACAAAAGGAGCAUAGCUGGGAUCAGAAGUGACAAACUCCUGGCAGCAGGGGAUUAUGAGCAGUGACUUCAAUUGCAAGACAACAAAAAACUGUGGAUGAAGACAGAAAACACCUUCAGAACCAUGGCACUGGACUGCAACUCCCUUGCAAGUCUAAUCU
rnacentral:lncRNA from 12 species